rnacentral:rRNA from 1 species
GACGUAGGGCGCGAGCGUUGUCCGGAUUUAUUGGGCGUAAAGAGCUCGUAGGCGGCUUGUCGCGUCGUCCGUGAAAACCUGCGGCUCAACUGCAGGCUGGCGGUCGAUACGGGCAGGCUGGAGUUCGGUAGGGGAGACUGGAAUUCCUGGUGUAGCGGUGAAAUGCGCAGAUAUCAGGAGGAACACCGGUGGCGAAGGCGGCUUGCUGGGCCAGUUCUGACGCUGAGGAGCGAAAGCGUGGGGAGCGAACAGG